rnacentral:rRNA from 1 species
AUUGAACGCUGGCGGCAGGCCUAACACAUGCAAGUCGAACGAGUGGCGGACGGGUGAGUAAUGUCUGGGAAACUGCCCGAUGGAGGGGGAUAACUACUGGAAACGGUAGCUAAUACCGCAUACCAUCGGAUGUGCCCAGAUGGGAUUAGCUAGUAGGUGGGGUAAAGGCUCACCUAGGCGACGAUCCCUAGCUGGUCUGCGAGGAUUACCAGCCACACGGGAACUGAGACACGAUCCAGAAACCGACGGAAGGCAGAAGUGGGGAAUAUUGCACAAGGGGCGGAAGCCUGAUGCAGCCAUGACGCGUUGAUGAAGAAGGCCUUCGGGUUGUAAAGUACUUUCAGCGGGGAGGCGUUACUCGCAGAAGAAGCACCGGCUAACUCCGUGCCAGCAGCCGCGGUAAUAC